rnacentral:rRNA from 1 species
GCCUUGCCGGCGUGCUUACCAUGCAGUCGAGCGGUAAGGCCUUUCGGGGUACACGAGCGGCGAACGGGUGAGUAACACGUGGGUGAUCUGCCCUGCACUUCGGGAUAAGCCUGGGAAACUGGGUCUAAUACCGGAUAUGACCUCCUAUCGCAUGGUGGGUGGUGGAAAGAUUUAUCGGUGCAGGAUGGGCCCGCGGCCUAUCAGCUUGUUGGUGGGGUAAUGGCCUACCAAGGCGACGACGGGUAGCCGACCUGAGAGGGUGACCGGCCACACUGGGACUGAGACACGGCCCAGACUCCUACGGGAGGCAGCAGUGGGGAAUAUUGCACAAUGGGCGAAAGCCUGAUGCAGCGACGCCGCGUGAGGGAUGACGGCCUUCGGGUUGUAAACCUCUUUCAGCAGGGACGAAGCGCAAGUGACGGUACCUGCAGAAGAAGCACCGGCUAACUACGUGCCAGCAGCCGCGGUAAUACGUAGGGUGCAAGCGUUGUCCGGAAUUACUGGGCGUAAAGAGUUCGUAGGCGGUUUGUCGCGUCGUUUGUGAAAACCAGCAGCUCAACUGCUGGCUUGCAGGCGAUACGGGCAGACUUGAGUACUGCAGGGGAGACUGGAAUUCCUGGUGUAGCGGUGAAAUGCGCAGAUAUCAGGAGGAACACCGGUGGCGAAGGCGGGUCUCUGGGCAGUAACUGACGCUGAGGAACGAAAGCGUGGGUAGCGAACAGGAUUAGAUACCCUGGUAGUCCACGCCGUAACGGUGGGCGCUAGGUGUGGGUUCCUUCCACGGAAUCCGUGCCGUAGCU